AUUGAACGCUGGCGGCAGGCCUAACACAUGCAAGUCGAACGGUAGCAGGCCGUUUGCUGCUGGCGUCAGGCGCAGGGGGGUGUGAAGCGCCUGAACGUGCGCCGGGGAGGGGGGUAACACGGCGGAAGAUGGGCGAAUAUACCACGUGCGCCGAGGGGGAGAACGGGGGGGAACGUCGCAACGCUUGGCCUCGGACGAGUCUAGGUCCGAUUAGCUAGUUGGUGGGGUAAAGGCCUACCAAGGCGACGAUCCGUAGCUGGUCUGAGAGGAUGAGCAGCCACACUGGAACUGAGACACGGCCCAGACUCCUACGGGAGGCAGCAGUGGGGAAUUUUGGACAAAGGGCGCAAGCCUGAUCCAGCCAUGCCGCGUGUGUGAAGAAGGCCUUCGGAUUGUAAACCGCUUUUGUUCGGGAGGAAGAGGAUCAAGCUAAUACCUUGCUCUGUUGACGUUACCGACAGAAUAAGCACCGGCUAACUACGUG
rnacentral:rRNA from 1 species